rnacentral:rRNA from 1 species
UACGUAGGGGGCAAGCGUUGCCCGGAAUCAUUGGGCGUAAAGAGCGCGUAGGCGGCCCAGUAAGUCCGCUCUGAAAGUCAGAGGCUCAACCUCUGGAUGCGGGUGGAUACUGCUGGGCUAGAGUCCGGAAGAGGCGAGUGGAAUUCCUGGUGUAGCGGUGAAAUGCGCAGAUAUCAGGAGGAACACCGAUGGCGAAGGCAGCUCGCUGGGACGGUACUGACGCUGAGGCGCGAAAGCGUGGGGAGCAAACAGG